rfam:Macleaya cordata isolate BLH2017 scaffold1703, whole genome shotgun sequence.
GAAUGCGAUCAUACCAGCACUAAUGCACCGAAUCCCAUCAGAACUCCGCAGCUGAGCGUGCUUGGGCUAGAGUAGUACUGGAAUGGGUGACCUCCUGGGAAGUUCUCGUGUUGCACCCC